rnacentral:rRNA from 1 species
UACGGAGGGUGCUAGCGUUGUUCGGAAUCACUGGGCGUAAAGGGCGUGUAGGCGGUCUGUUAAGUCUGAUGUGAAAUCCCCUCGCUCAACGAGGGAACUGCGUCGGAUACUGGCAGACUCGAGUACCGGAGAGGAAGGUGGAAUUCCCGGUGUAGCGGUGAAAUGCGUAGAGAUCCGGAGGAACACCAGAGGCGAAGGCGGCCUACUGGGCUGCACCUGACGCUGAGCCGCGAAAGCGUGGGGAGCAAACAGG